CCUACGGGGGGCUGCAGUGGGGAAUAUUGGACAAUGGGGGGAACCCUGAUCCAGCCAUGCCGCGUGUGUGAAGAAGGCCCUCGGGUUGUAAGCACUUUCAGUGAGGAAGAACGCCUGGUGGUUAAUACCCAUCAGGAAAGACAUCACUCACAGAAGAAGCACCGGCUAACUCCGUGCCAGCAGCCGCGGUAAUACGGAGGGUGCGAGCGUUAAUCGGAAUUACUGGGCGUAAAGCGCGCGUAGGUGGCUUGAUAAGCCGGUUGUGAAAGCCCCGGGCUCAACCUGGGAACGGCAUCCGGAACUGUCAAGCUAGAGUGCAGGAGAGGAAGGUAGAAUUCCCGGUGUAGCGGUGAAAUGCGUAGAGAUCGGGAGGAAUACCAGUGGCGAAGGCGGCCUUCUGGACUGACACUGACACUGAGGUGCGAAAGCGUGGGUAGCAAACAGGAUUAGAUACCCCUGUAGUC
rnacentral:rRNA from 1 species